rnacentral:rRNA from 1 species
GAGUUUGAUCAUGGCUCAGGACGAACGCUGGCGGCGUGCCUAACACAUGCAAGUCGAGCGAGGAAGCCCCUUCGGGGGUGGAAUAGCGGCGGACGGGUGAGUAACACGUGGGUAACCUGCCUCAAAGAGGGGGAUAGCCUCCCGAAAGGGAGAUUAAUACCGCAUAGAAGGUAAAAAUCGCAUGAUAAACACCUUAAAGGAGCAAUCCGCUUUGAGAUGGGCCCGCGUCGCAUUAGCUAGUUGGAGGGAUAAAAGCCACCCAAGGCGACGAUGCGUAGCCGACCUGAGAGGGUGAACGGCCACAUUGGAACUGAGAUACGGUCCAGACUCCUACGGGAGGCAGCAGUGGGGAAUAUUGCACAAUGGGGGAAACCCUGAUGCAGCAACGCCGCGUGAGUGAAGAAGGUUUUCGGAUCGUAAAGCUCUGUCAUCCGGGACGAUAAUGACGGUACCGGAAGAGGAAGCCACGGCUAACUACGUGCCAGCAGCCGCGGUAAUAC